rnacentral:rRNA from 1 species
UGAUUUUAGUGCUUGCACUAAAUGAAACUAGAUACAAGCGAGCGGCGGACGGGUGAGUAACACGUGGGUAACCUGCCCAAGAGACUGGGAUAACACCUGGAAACAGAUGCUAAUACCGGAUAACAACACUAGACGCAUGUCUAGAGUUUGAAAGAUGGUUCUGCUAUCACUCUUGGAUGGACCUGCGGUGCAUUAGCUAGUUGGUAAGGUAACGGCUUACCAAGGCAAUGAUGCAUAGCCGAGUUGAGAGACUGAUCGGCCACAUUGGGACUGAGACACGGCCCAAACUCCUACGGGAGGCAGCAGUAGGGAAUCUUCCACAAUGGACGAAAGUCUGAUGGAGCAACGCCGCGUGAGUGAAGAAGGGUUUCGGCUCGUAAAGCUCUGUUGGUAGUGAAGAAAGAUAGAGGUAGUAACUGGCCUUUAUUUGACGGUAAUUACUUAGAAAGUCACGGCUAACUACGUGCCAGCAGCCGCGGUAAUACGUAGGUGGCAAGCGUUGUCCGGAUUUAUUGGGCGUAAAGCGAGUGCAGGCGGUUCAAUAAGUCUGAUGUGAAAGCCUUCGGCUCAACCGGAGAAUUGCAUCAGAAACUGUUGAACUUGAGUGCAGAAGAGGAGAGUGGA